GGAGGCGGUGGGCACCGUGCGGCUGCUGCACCGCAUCUGCCGGGUGUACGCCGGGGUCGGCACGGCCGUGCCGGUGUUCGGCUUCGCCACCGCCUCCGCCA
rnacentral:tRNA from 1 species